rnacentral:rRNA from 1 species
AGAGUUUGAUCCUGGCUCAGGACGAACGCUGGCGGCGCGCCUAACACAUGCAAGUCGAACGGAGCUUAGAGAGCUUGCUUUUUAAGCUUAGUGGCGAACGGGUGAGUAACGCGUGAGUAACCUGCCCUAGAGUGGGGGACAACAGUUGGAAACGACUGCUAAUACCGCAUAAGCCCACGGUACCGCAUGGCACUGAGGGAAAAGGAUUUAUUCGCUUUAGGAUGGACUCGCGUCCAAUUAGCUAGUUGGUGAGGUAACGGCCCACCAAGGCGACGAUUGGUAGCCGGACUGAGAGGUUGAACGGCCACAUUGGGACUGAGACACGGCCCAGACUCCUACGGGAGGCAGCAGUGGGGGAUAUUGCACAAUGGGGGAAACCCUGAUGCAGCGACGCCGCGUGGAGGAAGAAGGUUUUCGGAUUGUAAACUCCUGUCGUUAGGGACGAUAAUGACGGUACCUAACAAGAAAGCACCGGCUAACUACGUGCCAGCAGCCGCGGUAAAACGUAGGGUGCAAGCGUUGUCCGGAAUUACUGGGUGUAAAGGGAGCGCAGGCGGGAAGACAAGUUGGAAGUGAAAACCAUGGGCUCAACCCAUGAAUUGCUUUCAAAACUGUUUUUCUUGAGUAGUGCAGAGGUAGAUGGAAUUCCCGGUGUAGCGGUGGAAUGCGUAGAUAUCGGGAGGAACACCAGUGGCGAAGGCGGUCUACUGGGCACCAACUGACGCUGAGGCUCGAAAGCAUGGGUAGCAAACAGGAUUAGAUACCCUGGUAGUCCAUGCCGUAAACGAUGAUUACUAGGUGUUGGGGGAUUGACCCCCUCAAGUGCCGCAGUUAACACAAUAGGUAAUCCACUUGGGGAGUACGACGGCAAGGUGGAAACUCAAAGGAAUUGACGGGGGCCCGCACAAGCAGUGGAGUAUCUGGUUUAAUUGGAAGCAACGCGAAAAACCUUACCAGGGCUUGACAUCCCAAGAAGGAGGUGGAAACACUUUUGUGCCCUUCGGGGAACUUGGAGACAGGUGACGCAUGGUGGUCGUCAGCUCGUGUCGUGAGAUGUUGGGUUAAGUCCCGCAACGAGCGCAACCCCUAUGCCCAGUUGCCAGCACGUAGAGGUGGGAACUCUGGCAAGACCGCCGGGGAUAACCCGGAGGAAGGUGGGGACGACGUCAAAUCAUCAUGCUCCUUAUGUCCUGGGCUACACACGUGCUACAAUGGCCGCAACAGCGAGAAGCCACCCUGCAAGGGGGAGCGGAACUCAAAAAGCGGUCUCAGUUCGGAUCGUGGGCUGCAACCCGCCCACGUGAAGUUGGAGUUGCUAGUAAUCGCGAAUCAGCAUGUCGCGGUGAAUGCGUUCCCGGGCCUUGCACACACCGCCCGUCA